GGAGAGUUUGAUCCUGGCUCAGGAUGAACGCUAGCGGCAGGCUUAACACAUGCAAGUCGAGGGGCAGCAUAAUGGAUAGCAAUAUCUAUGGUGGCGACCGGCGCACGGGUGCGUAACGCGUAUGCAACCUACCUUUAACAGGGGGAUAACACUGAGAAAUUGGUACUAAUACCCCAUAAUAUCAUAGAAGGCAUCUUUUAUGGUUGAAAAUUCCGAUGGUUAGAGAUGGGCAUGCGUUGUAUUAGCUAGUUGGUGGGGUAACGGCUCACCAAGGCGACGAUACAUAGGGGGACUGAGAGGUUAACCCCCCACACUGGUACUGAGACACGGACCAGACUCCUACGGGAGGCAGCAGUGAGGAAUAUUGGUCAAUGGACGCAAGUCUGAACCAGCCAUGCCGCGUGCAGGAUGACGGCUCUAUGAGUUGUAAACUGCUUUUGUACGAGGGUAAACGCAGAUACGUGUAUCUGUCUGAAAGUAUCGUACGAAUAAGGAUCGGCUAACUCCGUGCCAGCAGCCGCGGUAAUACGGAGGAUUCAAGCGUUAUCCGGAUUUAUUGGGUUUAAAGGGUGCGUAGGCGGUUUGAUAAGUUAGAGGUGAAAUUUCGGGGCUCAACCCUGAACGUGCCUCUAAUACUGUUGAGCUAGAGAGUAGUUGCGGUAGGCGGAAUGUAUGGUGUAGCGGUGAAAUGCUUAGAGAUCAUACAGAACACCGAUUGCGAAGGCAGCUUACCAAACUAUAUCUGACGUUGAGGCACGAAAGCGUGGGGAGCAAACAGGAUUAGAUACCCUGGUAGUCCACGCAGUAAACGAUGAUAACUCGUUGUCGGCGAUACACAGUCGGUGACUAAGCGAAAGCGAUAAGUUAUCCACCUGGGGAGUACGUUCGCAAGAAUGAAACUCAAAGGAAUUGACGGGGGCCCGCACAAGCGGAGGAACAUGUGGUUUAAUUCGAUGAUACGCGAGGAACCUUACCCGGGCUUGAAAGUUAGCGACGAUUCUUGAAAGAGGAUUUCCCUUCGGGGCGCGAAACUAGGUGCUGCAUGGUUGUCGUCAGCUCGUGCCGUGAGGUGUCGGGUUAAGUCCCAUAACGAGCGCAACCCCUACCGUUAGUUGCCAUCAGGUGAAGCUGGGCACUCUGGCGGGACUGCCGGUGUAAGCCGAGAGGAAGGUGGGGAUGACGUCAAAUCAGCACGGCCCUUACGUCCGGGGCUACACACGUGUUACAAUGGG
rnacentral:rRNA from 1 species